rnacentral:rRNA from 1 species
UACGUAGGGUGCAAGCGUUAAUCGGAAUUACUGGGCGUAAAGCGUGCGCAGGCGGUUAUGUAAGACAGAUGUGAAAUCCCCGGGCUCAACCUGGGAACUGCAUUUGUGACUGCAUAGCUAGAGUACGGGUAGAGGGGGGAUGGAAUUCCGCGUGUAGCAGUGAAAUGCGUAGAUAUGCGGAGGAACACCGAUGGCGAAGGCAAUCCCCUGGACCUGUACUGACGC